UUGGAUUUGAAAAAUUAUAAUGAACAACAUUUGUGAAGAUAACAAUAUAUUUUAAGUAAUACAUAACUUUUUAUGUAAGAAAAAUAAAUUUAAAGAAAAUAAAUAUGAGAAAUUAUGAGAGAAGAAAUAUGAUUGAUGGAAUGAAGAAAAAAUGGGGCCAAUCAAAUUUAAUGAAAACAUCAUAUAUCAAAUGGUUUUAACUAUAUUCCUAUAUAUAUUAUUUUAGAUUA
rnacentral:lncRNA from 1 species